rnacentral:rRNA from 1 species
ACAGGGAUUGCCCUAGUAACGGCGAGUGAAGCGGCAACAGCUCAAAUUUGAAAGCUGGCUCCGGCCCGCAUUGUAAUUUGCAGAGGAUGCUUCUGGCGAGGUGCCUUCCGAGUUCCCUGGAACGGGACGCCAUAGAGGGUGAGAGCCCCGUAUGGAAGGACACCAGACCUGUGUGAAGCUCCUUCAACGAGUCGAGUAGUUUGGGAAUGCUGCUCUAAAUGGGAGGUAAAUCUCUUCUAAAGCUAAAUACCGGCCAGAGACCGAUAGCGCACAAGUAGAGUGAUCGAAAGAUGAAAAGCACCUUGAAAAGGGGGUUAAACAGUACGUGAAAUUGUUGAAAGGGAAGCGCUUGUGACCAGACUUGCGCCGGGCGGCUCAUCAGGGGUUCUCCCCUGUGCACUCCGCCCGGCUCAGGCCAGCAUCGGUUCUCGUGGGAGGAUAAGAACGGUGGGAACGUGGCCCCCCUCCGGGGGGGUGUUAUAGCCCACCGUACGAUACUCUCGUGGGGACCGAGGUUCGCGCUCCGCAAGGAUGCUGGCGUAAUGGUCAUCAGCGACCCGUCUUGAAACACGGACCAAGGAGUCGUCCAUUAGAGCGAGCGUUUGGGUGUAAAACCCGCACGCGUAAUGAAAGUGAACGCAGGUGAGAGCUUCGGCGCAUCAUCGACCGAUCCUGAUGUCUUCGGAUGGAUUUGAGUAAGAGUUUUAACGGACGGACCCGAAAGACAGUGAACUAUGCUUGUAUAGGGUGAAGCCAGAGGAAACUCUGGUGGAGGCUCGCAGCGGUUCUGACGUGCAAAUCGAUCGUCAAAUAUGAGCAUGGGGGCGAAAGACUAAUCGAACUGUCUAGUAGCUGGUUACCGCCGAAGUUUCCCUCAGGAUAGCAGUGUUGUUCUUCAGUUUUAUGAGGUAAAGCGAAUGAUUAGGGACUCGGGGGCGCUUAUUAGCCUUCAUCCAUUCUCAAACUUUAAAUAUGUAAGAAGCCCUUGUUACUUAAUUGAACGUGGGCAUUCGAAUGUACCAACACUAGUGGGCCAUUUUUGGUAAGCAGAACUGGCGAUGCGGGAUGAACCGAACGCGGGGUUAAGGCGCCAGAGUGUACGCUCAUCAGACACCACAAAAGGCGUUAGUACAUCU